rnacentral:rRNA from 1 species
UACGUAGGGUGCGAGCGUUAAUCGGAAUUACUGGGCGUAAAGUGUGCGCAGGCGGCUGAGCAAGUCGAGUGUGAAAGCCCCGGGCUUAACUUGGGAAUUGCGCUCGAAACUACUUGGCUGGAGUGUGGCAGAGGAGGGUGGAAUUCCACGUGUAGCGGUGAAAUGCGUAGAGAUGUGGAGGAACACCAAUGCGAAGGCAGCCCUCUGGGCCAACACUGACGCUCAUGCACGAAAAGCGUGGGGGAGCAAACAGG